ACAGCUUGAAACAAAUUGUUUUUGACUGUCCAUCUACAAGAGUGUGACACUUGUACUAAGAUUUGAAUGUGUUGCUUCCAGAGUCGUCUACAAAGAGUGACAUCCAGAGCUCUGCUGGAGCUGUGGGGAAGUUCAUGAAUGUUAUAGUUGAUGUUUCAGAAAAAAGGAAGAUGUUUGAGAACCAACAAAACACAGACCACAGAUGAACAAAGUGAUGUGGCAUUAGGAGACUUUAUACCAGAUGCCCUCCCUGUUACUGUGUUUAGAGGAAGAAAAGCAGCACAUGGCAGAGACCAGAGCGUCUUCACUGGAAUAAAUCUUCACACUGUCCAGCUCCAAACUGUGUAUCUCUGUCCCUGUGCUCUCUUUGUGUUUGAUUCUGUUUAAGACAAUACAGAACUGUGGAAAACUAAAGACUGUUUUUGUAUUCUUUUACAGAAUUAGAUCAAUUAAAUUACAUUAUACAUACUUAUACAUUUCAUGAUAAGGUACCAUAAGAUAAAUAUGCAUAUUCAGCAUGAUUUGUUCAAAUUUCAUCAACAUGAAAAAGUGAUGUUCAUGUUCCGAGAAAAAUAUGUGUAGAGGGGUUCGAAAAAAGUUUCAAAGCCUAAACAUAAUUUUAUUGCGUGCAACCGCUGUCCAUAACUUUUUUACGCAAAUCCAGCAACCU